ACUUUUUUUAUCGUACAAAUGGAGUUCUUUUUCUUUGCCACCGUAUUUAUAACGGUAUACCGUUAUAAAUACGGUGGCAAAGAAAAAGAACUCCAUUUGUACGAUAAAAAAA
rnacentral:pre_miRNA from 1 species